UAAUGUAUGGGGAUCUGCCCGAUAGAGGGGAAGAACUACUGGAAACGGUGGCUAAUACCGCAUAAUGUCUACGGACCAAAGCAGGGGCUCUUCGGACCUUGCACUAUCGGAUGAACCCAUAUGGGAUUAGCUAGUAGGUGGGGUAAAGGCUCACCUAGGCGACGAUCUCUAGCUGGUCUGAGAGGAUGAUCAGCCACACUGGGACUGAGACACGGCCCAG
rnacentral:rRNA from 1 species